GUUGUAGUUGUGACAAAAAUAACACUCUUGUUUCAUCAUGUUUCUAAAUAUAAAAAAAUAAAAAUAAAAGGGGGGGAGGGGUGAGGUGUUAAAAAGAAGUGGUAAAAAAAUCACUUCUUCUGCUUGACUUUGAUAUCUUGACAUUGAAUUUCUAUCCAUUAGAUAAACACUCCUGCUCCUUAUCUACCCAGCCUUUGUAACUCGGUGUUGUCAUCCCAAGCAGAGCUCUACCACAAGUUUGGCCAACAAGAGAAAGGCAAACAGAAGAUGAACUUGGAGAUAGGAAAUUUGGAACUACCUGUGGUGCAAACAAGGCAGUAAUGCUAAAUCUGGGUGGCGUUGCAUGCUUUAAUAAUGAAGCAGCAGCAGAAGGUCCCAAAAAUAAGAGCAGAAGUUGUCCCACAGCUGAGAUAUGUGGCACAGCUGUUGUGUCACUCUCCAGUAACAGGCUGUCCUGAGAUCACACCUUUUCUCUCACGCUGUCCAAGGUGUGAUUUAACUGCCCCAGGAGGAUCUGAUGAAUUAAAAAUCAGUGGUGCUUCUCCAAAUAGUGGAGGAUGUUGUGUGUCAAAUGCUGAAAAUGAACCUCAAGUGAUGGCUUAGGCUUGCCAGCUGUUACCUGGGCAGACAUGCCUGCCACCUGGGCUUAAUACAGGAUUUCAGAUGUGUCUGGACAGUCAUUAAAAGUCUGACUGUCUGGUUCACAGCUUGUCCUAGUGAUGAAGUCUUGAGGUUUGCAUCCAAACAGUCCCAAUCAGAGCCUGUGUUUGGGGCUUGGUGGAGCUCUGUAGGGAUGGGAGCUAUGGAGGACCUCAAAAUAUGAUGAAAGCCUGCAGAUAAGGGAGGUUUCCAAUAGAUAAGCAGGAUACUUAUCUGUGGUUGCAGAACAGACAAUCGCAGAAGCCAGCAGAAUUUAGGAUAGAAACAUGUUAAAUACUGGGAAAAUUUGUUGCAUAACGUGAAGUAACAUUACACAACGCAGGGAAUGGGAUACACUGCUUAAAACAGAAAACGACCAUAUGACCUUUUAGUUUUAGUUUCUGAAUGAAAUCAACUGUCAUUAUGCAACAGUUGACCUGCCCAUAAAACAGGGGAGUUGAUAUUUACCUACGCCCCUGGCAUGCAAGUCAUCAAUUAAUAUUUGCAAGGCAGUUGGAGGACUUUGGAUGAAUGGCUUUGCAGGUACAGAGAUAUGCGUUGGAGUUUUCUCACCGUUAGACAUAACACAGCAGUGAGCAUGUCCGUGUGUCUGUGUACAACCACUUGGGGCCACAAACAGCUUUCCUACAGGAAUGGUGUGGUUUAAAAUUGGAAAAAGCAUAAUUCAUGAUUAAUUAUUUAACCUUACCCUACAACGCCUUAUGCCUAGGAGACAUUGUGGUCACACUAUGGUUGCAUUUGUCAUAUUCAAACAAACUAGGAAAUAGUUUCUGUACCGGCCAUGACAGGCCAGACUAGAUGACCUCUAUGGAUCUUCUUGGCCUCAGUUUCAGUGAAUCCAUGCACCCUAUCAUAGCAUGAAAAUAUAUUUACUUAAAUAUGCCAGCCAUACCAAACAACACUAGCUUCAGUGGUCCCUACCUCCUCCAGCUGUCUGAUGCUACCAGCCUGAUGCUAUUUCCCAAACUCUGUUGGAAGCUUUACAGAAAAGUGAUGCUGCAGGAAGAGGAAGCUGUUUGGGGCAAGGUUUGGUAGAAGGCCUCUGCCUUCAGCAGCUCCCCGUGUGACUGUCAUGACCUCAUUUCUUCAAAGAGCUCAGCACUCCGCCUCCAAGUUCUGGGGAAAAAACGGGCCAUUCAUUUGCUGUGCCUAAAUGGGAUUUUAACUAAUCCUUGAAAAUCUGGCCCAAAUAUUUCUUCUAUAAUUAAAAAAAAAAAAAAAAAAAGGAAAAAAUUAUAAUUCUUAGAUUUAUAAUUGUCAAGGAAAUUCUGGUGUCUUUGUUAUCUGAGACAUACCCCUUGAGACUUCUCACAUCUAUAUUUUGCUGAGAAGCAGUGGGAGCGUCUUUCCAUAUGGCUCAAGAAAACAAGGCAGUCAAAGCAAAGACAGAGAGAAUUUUAGGACUGCAGUGAUAACAUCUUCUGCAGAGUUUAUAGUGACCUUGCUGCUUUUCAUUGUGACUUGGUUGACUGUUUCUUGAAAAACACAGAGUGAUACAAAUCAGGAUUUGAGAGGGAAACAAACAGCCCAUCAGUUUGAGGGAAAAAAAAAGCAUGAAAGCCAGAUCUUGCUGGUAGCUUGUUGAUGUUUCUGUGCUCUUUCUGUAGGAAGGAGACCCUCAGCCCUCUGUGAAGGAAGGACUUGAGCCAGCAACAAAUCAGGACAUCCUUGUGAAGGUGUGAGAGAACAUGAGCAUUGGGGCUCCUCUGCCUUUGAAACCACCUUUGUGUGAGCAAGAACUGGAGCUUUCCUGCAAAGGUCCUGCUAAAUGUCUGGGAAGACAGCAAAAAGAAAAAGCAUAUGUCCUGUCCAUUCUUCCCACUCCAAAAGAGAUAGGCCUGUGUUUUUUUCUUUAUGUUGGGAUAAAAUAAACACAAAUCAAGUUUCUAGCCUGCGACUUUACACCACAAAGAACUUCAUCACUGUGAACCUGAGUGUGAACUGCUGAGUGUGGCUGGCAUCCCCAUCACUGGGAUGGGGAUGGGGCCACCAAGUUCAUGUGGCCCUAUAGAGGAUGGAUGCCUGCUGCAGUGGAGAUGAGCAAUGGAUGUCACUGUGGACGAGAGCUUCAGACUGUCAUCUUGUUACAGCUCUUUCUAAUGACGUGACCCCAGCUCAAAUCCUUGGCCUGCAGCAUGCAACCAAGACCAGGGCAGCUUGUGACUCCUCUUGGCCGUGGAGCUCGGAGCCCUUGAUGGUGAAAUCUGAGGAUGGAGCUCCAGAAGUAACCUCGCCUUGUGUGGUAACCGCAACCAACAGGUGGCCAAAGCUGCUGGAGCACCCUCAUGUCAUGCAUCCACCAAGGAGCCGCAUCGUGGUGCAGUGGCUUGGCACGGUGAAGGACAAUAUCAAGAGCUGUUGGCCACCAGGAUGGGGAGAAAGAAAAGGUGCCCUUCUUCACAAAAUGGAGCGUGUUGCAACUGCCUGCAGAGCUGGCUUACACAGUGAUGGGGGCGUACUUACAUUACCAAACAUCGUGAUGACAAGCAUCUUGGGAUCUUCCAAGGCAGUAUUGUUAAGUAAAUCAACAAGCGGCUUAAUGCUCAACAUGUGAAGGUGAGCGAAUGACGUUCAAGCAGGAGGACUGGGUAGGGCUCUGAGGAGUAUCCAAAGAAUCUGAAAUAAAAGGCUUUGAAGAAAAAUGUCAGAGGUAAAGAUCUGAAGACUGUGAGGUGCUAAUAAUUGACAACUGGCAUGGCUUGCAAAGCAAAAAGACUAUCAACACGCUUAAAAAUCUCCUUGUCUUGUCUAACUAAAUGUAAUUAGCACUAAAAAUACAAACACAAACUAGGAUGGAAAUGUGCUUAUGCCGUAUGUAUGAACAAGAUAAUCUUGUGUCUGAGUUCCACCAUGAGUUUUUUUCUUAUUCAGCACAUAAAUCAGGUUUUCUGAUUGCUUUUUAAAAUUAUUGUUCACCCACAUUGUGAUGUUGUCCCAAAUGAGAACACCCAAGAAACACAUCUCAUCUCAAAGUGCUUGACAGUCCUCAAAGAGAAACAACUGACUGCUGACAAACCAGAAGGUACUCUCUAAUUGCAGACGAAACUCCAGGGUCUGUAUUUUUUUCUCCCUGCAGUGUUUAUUAAACAGACAUUGGUUUGGGUGUGAAAGCAGCAGGUUUGGAAAGUAUUUCUAGCACUGGAGGUGGUGCUGCAGGGUAUAGCCUCGGUUUGGAGUCUGUUUUGUGUAUGUUCUGGAAUAUUGCAAAUCAUGUUGUGAUAGUGGAGUAACUAUAAACAGUCAUUUGGCAGCAUAUCUUGGUUGUCAGAGACCUGAUGCAAAUGUGCAUUCCCACCUUUGGUUCUUGUCCCAUGCCCUUCCCACUCUGUUCAUGCUUUGGGGGUUUCCACCAGAGUUUAAGGCUUGUGUGAUCUGAGCAAAACUGCUGGUCAUUUCUUAGCUCUGUGUUGCAAGACAGAGGUGGCUAUGGUCUGGCUUUUUGGGGAGGACUGUCAUGGUGCAAGGGAUUUGCAUCCCCUGCAAGCUUGAUUUGGAAGCAUUGUUAUUUCUUGGCUGAAGCUGGAAGGGGACACACAGCAUUUGGGAGAACGGUCUCAUUUUCCUUCCUUCAAAAAAAGAGUCAAGGGGCACAUCAGAUUUCAGUGAUGGCAUUGACUGCAUUUCCACUGAACACAGUGAGAAUUUGGAUACCCCUGUACAUUCCCAUGUUCUGAUCUGUGAGUUCAACCUCACUUCUCCAAACAGGGUCAAUUUUAAAGCAAGUGUGAUGGUUUGGAAACUGAAAGUGUGUGCCAAGUAUUUCAGAAGGUUCAGGACAAAACGAGAAUUUGUCUCUUCACCUCAAGGAAUCCAAUGUGCUUUAUUUCAAUGAAGAAAUUACAGAUUUGGGGAAAAAAUAUGCUUCAGUGAUUUACAGAGCCCAUGCUUCAUGGCUGUUUCUGACUUCAGUAGAGAUUAGAUGAGGUUGGCAGUUUCUUUUAUACUUUUUCACAGAUGCUUUAUUUCUUCAUUUUGGAGUUUAAUUAUCUAAGCGUGCAUAAAAAUAGAGGGGAGAAGAGUAUCUCAUAUCAACUAUGGAUUUCUGCAGCUGCUCUGGAUCACACUGCUUCAAGGCUUUAUACCACUCCUAAAAUACGAUACUGACAAAAACCCAUUACUGCAUCACCACAGCUAACUCAAAAUUUACACAUUAGAGCUAGUAAUCUCCAAUGGACCUCCUCCAUCCUUCUAAGUUUGAUAAGAAAUAUUUAUUUCAAGGAACAUAAGACUGAAUUUUGUGUCACAUUUUCCUACCCACAAAUAUUUAUUUUUCUGGGGGAUAAAGCUGAAUAUUUCGCAUCCUUUCUGAAGAUGAGAACAAAUGAAAGCAGUCGGUCCUGUCUGUCUCUCUCUUUUGCAAUGAUUAAGUUUUUGAGUAUAGAUACUGCUGAGAGGUUUCACUCAACUAUGCUUGAAAACAAUCUGCAUUUAUGGACUCAGGACCUUUGUCAAGCAAACCUGAAAUUCCAUUAAAAGGAUAGAAACUUUUAGAAGCUCAGUUUUCCAUAAAUGCAAAA